UACGGAGGGUGCAAGCGUUAUCCGGAUUCACUGGGUUUAAAGGGUGCGUAGGUGGGCAGGUAAGUCAGUGGUGAAAUCUCCGGGCUCAACCCGGAAACUGCCAUUGAUACUAUCAGUCUUGAAUAUCGUGGAGGUAAGCGGAAUAUGUCAUGUAGCGGUGAAAUGCUUAGAUAUGACAUAGAACACCAAUUGCGAAGGCAGCUUACUACCCGAAUAUUGACACUGAGGCACGAAAGCGUGGGGGAGUCAAACAGG
rnacentral:rRNA from 1 species